rnacentral:rRNA from 1 species
AGCUCCAAUAGCGUAUAUUAAAGUUGUUGCAGUUAAAAAGCUCGUAGUUGCAUUUUUGGCAGUUUCACACGGUCAACCUUAAGUGGCAGGCUAGUGGCGAAUUGUCAUUGCCCUUUUGUGUUCGACAAGAGCGUACAUUAAAGGCUUUACUUUGAGUAAAUUAGAGUGUUUCAAGCAAGCAUUUGCUAUGAAUACUGCAGCAUGGAAUAAUUAUAUAGGAUGUUGGUUCUAUAUUGUUGGUUCUGAGAGCCGAUGUAAUGAUUAAUAGAAACAGUUGGGGGCAUUCGAAUUCAACAGCUAGAGGUGAAAUUCUUAGAUUUGUUGAAGACGAACUACAGCGAAAGCAUUUGCCAAGGAUGUUUUCA